GAAGAGGCAGAGCCGAAGAAGCUGAAGCUUUACUCAUACUGGCUGAGCUCUUGUUCUUGUCGCGUUCGCAUUGGUCUCGACUUAAAAGGAUUGGAGUACGAGUACGUAGCGGUGAAUUUUCCUGAAGGAGAACAGCAGACUCCUGAGUUUUUGAAGCUUAACCCUAUGGGGUA